rnacentral:rRNA from 1 species
GCAUAAUCAUUAGUCUUUUAAUUUAAGGCUAGAAUGAAUGGCGUGACGACAUAUUUACUGUCUCAAAAGUAUCUUAUUAGAACUUAACCUUUAAGUUAAAAGGCUUAAAUAUAAUUAAAAGACGAGAAGACCCUAUAGAUCUUUAUAUAAAUUAAAGUACUAAAAAUUUUAUUAGUUUUAAUAUUAAAAUUAUAUUUUGUUGGGGUGACAGGAAAAUUUAAGUAACUUUUUUAUUAAUUAACAUUUUUAUAUGUAUAAAGGAUCCGUAAUUUACGAUUAUUAGAUCAAGAUACCUUAGGGAUAACAGCGUAAUUCUUUUUGAGAGUUCAAAUCGACAAAGGAGUUUGCGACCUCGAUGUUGGAUUAAGAAAAUACUUAAGUGCAGAAGCUUAAAAUUUAGGUCUGUUCGACCUUUAAAUUCUUACAU